GACGCGGUCAGCCGAGUCUUGGGGUCUCCAGACACCCGCCAGUCGGUUACCCGCAGCUUUUACCCGACGGCCGCCCCGGGCGCUAGUUACUCAGAGGCCCGCGCAACCGCUUAUUCACGUAGUUGUGCGGGUCUGUAAACCUCCGCUAGGAACGUCCCUUCCCCCUUCGCUGAUUUAUUGUGCACCUGCUAUUUGUCAGUAAAGGGGUUGUUCCACCUCCCAGUGCGGUGCAGGCUCGGGGUACAGGGACUCCCCGGCACUGCUCUCCAACGCCAAGGGCAACAAGAUAGCCGUUUUAUUUUUUGACCCCCUUUAUGGAUCUUCUCCCAAGAGUCUGUGGGUUAGACUGUACAUCAAUUAUCACCCCAAAUUCUAGCCAUACUGCACAGCGACAGGCUUUUUCACUAGCCCUGUUUUUGCAGGUGAGGAAGCAGACCACUGCCAGAUUUGAUGGAAACGUGUCUGUUUUGGGGGGCGCCUGCCUUGAAUACGCACUCCCCUGGUGUUAAUCCUCCACCCCACCACCACCACAACCACCAAAAGGCUUGCUCUGUAAUCUAUUAAGACUUUUUCCCUGAGUGCCACCUACCAGCCGUCUGCUGGGCAUACUGACUCCAGCCAAGACUUGGUUUCUGCCCUUUAAAGUAGAGGGAAAGUAUGGAAGGCUCUGAGCCACUGGUGUGGGUAAUUGGUCAGAUCAGAGGAGGGGUAUAUAUCUCUUUUGGUCUAAGGAGCCUUUUCUUUUUGCCUCUCUCAGCCAUUAAAUCUCUUCAGAAUCCCUUUUCUCAAGCUGGCAACAAAACAGACUUGAACUCCUCCCCUGCCCAUACCCCGCUUCCAAAGACUGUAAAGUCUGUGAAGUAGAUGUUCAUGUCUUGUGGAGCCUGAAUCUUAAAUAAUUUGGAGUGACCUCCGUACGGAAAAGAUUACAGAAUGGUCCUGUGAACACAUUGCUGGGGCUUGGAAAAGGGGCCCAUGUGGUAACGCUGAAAUGUAAACUUCCUUUAACAUCAAGGUAAAUCUGCCCCUGCUUAUUGUAGUAUUAUCAUUAUUUGUUUGCCUGUAGGCUUAUCCCACUGGACUGAGAGUUCCAGGAACCUUGUCUGUGAUUCAUCUCUGCAGCCUCCUCAAGCUGAUAAGGUGGGGAAACUGAGGCACAGACUGCUUAAGGACCUUUAGCAAAGCUACAAAGCCUGAAGUGGCAAACCCGGGAAGGAGGCCCAGCUGCAGCCUAUCUCCAGAGGCCGCAAGCUUAACCACUGCGCCACACUGCCUCUCCAGAUGUUGGAAGCCUAGAUCAAGGCCUUUGUGACUGUAGCCACCAUCUCCCAUGUGUGCACACACGGUCUUUUCUCUGCAUAUGUGUGUGAAGAGAGAGAAAAGGUGGUGCAAGGGGUUAAGCACAGCACUUUGAGUCUAUGUACAGCCUCUGCAGCACGAGUUCAAUCCCCGGCCAGGAAGCUACCCACAUGGCGCAGCAGACCCUUCUGUCUCACCCGCUGCUCCCCUCAGCAGUGUAUUUCAGUCAGUCUUCCUGUUCUGUUCCCCACUCUGUCUCUCGUGAAUCCUCUCACCCCCCUGUACCUCUGGCCUGUACCCCAGUUCUUGUAUGCAUAA